rnacentral:snoRNA from 1 species
CUGCAUGUUUAUCCAAGAGCUGUGGCCCCGUGCAGUAGCUGCAGGUCUCCAACAACAUGCGAGAGCAACGGGAAGGUCUUUGACUGCCGGGCCUCUUCUGCCUCUGGCCGUCACUCGCCCCUCCUAUAUAU